rnacentral:rRNA from 1 species
CCUACGGGAGGCAGCAGUGGGGAAUUUUGGACAAUGGGCGCAAGCCUGAUCCAGCUACUCCGCGUGUGGGAAGACGGCCUUCGGGUUGUAAACCACUUUUGUAGAGAACGAAAAGUCUGUUGAUAAUACCGACAGAUGAUGACGGUACUCUAAGAAUAAGCCACGGCUAACUACGUGCCAGCAGCCGCGGUAAUACGUAGGGUGCGAGCGUUGAUCGGAUUUAUUGGGCGUAAAGGGAGUGCAGGCGGUUUUGCAAGAUGGAUGUGAAAGCCCCGGGCUUAACCUGGGAAAGGCAUCCAUAACUGCAGGACUAGAGUGCGUCAGAGGGGGGUGGAAUUCCAAGUGUAGCAGUGAAAUGCGUAGAUAUUUGGAAGAACACCGAUGGCGAAGGCAGCCCCCUGGGACGCAACUGACGCUGAUACACGAAAGCGUGGGGAGCAAACAGGAUUAGAUACCCGAGUAGUC